rnacentral:rRNA from 1 species
CCUACGGGAGGCAGCAGUGAGGAAUAUUGGUCAAUGGACGAGAGUCUGAACCAGCCAAGUAGCGUGAAGGAUGACUGCCCUAUGGGUUGUAAACUUCUUUUAUAAAGGAAUAAAACGAGGCACGUGUGCCUUUUUGCAUGUACUUUAUGAAUACGGAUCGGCUAACUCCGUGCCAGCAGCCGCGGUAAUACGGAGGAUCCGAGCGUUAUCCGGCUUUAUUGGGUUUAAAGGGAGCGUAGAUGGGUUGUUAAGUCAGUUGUGAAAGUUUGCGGCUUAACCGUAAAAUUGCAAUUGAUACUGGCAGUCUUGAGUACAGUUGAGGUAGGCGGAAUUCGUGGUGUAGCGGUGAAAUGCGUAGAUAUCACGAAGAACCCCGAUUGCGAAGGCAGCUUACUAAACUGUGACUGACAUUGAUGCUCGAAAGUGUGGGGAUCAAACAGGAUUAGAUACCCUAGUAGUC